GGAGGGUUGUGAUCUGUAUCGGUUUAGGGAACACUCGCAAAUAAAAUCAGUCCCUUGGCAUAACCAGUUUAAGCAAAAGACCGUGGCAAGCGAAAUCCUUUAAAUUCUCCACGAUGUAAUGAUGAACUUAGCCCUUGGUUGGUUGGCACGGUACCCAAGACAGUUGCGGAUUCCGUUUCUAUUGUUUUCUAUGUAUUAUCUCUGUGGGGAUCCGCCGCACUUGGCCUCGCUCCGGGCGUGGCACCGGACGCAGAACGUACGCUGGGGCGCUUCUCCGCUCUUCUCUUCACUUGCAGAAAGCGGAAAACUGGGGCAGGGAUCCAAACUGGGGCCCCAAGUCGGCUGGUAACGGUCAAACCUCGAGUUUCUUUGAUGUCAGAGAGGAGGGGGUGGGGACUGAAUCCAUUAGGUUCUGCCACAGAAAUCAAUGUCGCCCUCGUCCUCGCAGCUGAGCAGUGUCUAGAGGACGGGCUCAGUUGUCCAAGGCCAGCUCAUUGGCCCCGGAGUCAGUUCUAGAAAACGAACAAGAAACCUGCCCACUGAUCCCUGCCCCCACCCCACCCCAGGCAUUUCGGGGUCUCCCGAGAACAACCAUGGGAUUUUUUUUUUUAAGCAAGAAACAGACACAAAUUCAUUCAUGCCUAAGGAUAUAUUCUUAAACCUCUCUAAUAUCCCUGGCGAUCAGAAAAUAAUAGGCAUGUUACCAUGUGGAAGAAAAAGGUAGGGGGAAAAAUGCCCUACUUGCCAUAUGUAGCACUGGGAUCAUACAUAUACACGUGUGUACGCACAUGCAUUUAUAUAGUACAUCUGGAGAUGCGCCAUAUAUUCCAGAAUAUGUAUAUAUGCAUAUAUGUAUAUAUACUAUAUAUAUAUAUAUAUAUAUAUAUAUGCACAUAUAUCUGCUUCUAGGCAUAUACCUUUCUGUAUUCAACAUCCAUAUACAAUUUAUAAAACACGUGUAUCCAGGACAUAUCAAUGCUUAAUAUUUUUUGUGGGACAUCUGUGAAAUACAUUACAUACAAAUAUAUAGAAAAUGUUUUACAUCUAAAGGCAAUGCAAUAUCUUUAUAUAUUCUAGAUAAAUAUCUGUAACCACGAAAGAGAUGCAUAUCUAGAAUACAGAGCCAUUGCUUCUUUAUUUAGAAUAUGUAAUGAUAAUAAUAAAAACAAUGAACAGCAUUUAUAUAGAACUUAA
rnacentral:lncRNA from 1 species